rnacentral:rRNA from 1 species
CACUCCUACGGGAGGCAGCAGUGAGGAAUAUUGGACAAUGGGUGGAAGCCUGAUCCAGCCAUCCCGCGUGCAGGAAGACGGCCCUAUGGGUUGUAAACUGCUUUUAUCUGGGGAUAAACCUACUUACGUGUAAGUAGCUGAAGGUACCAGAAGAAUAAGCACCGGCUAACUCCGUGCCAGCAGCCGCGGUAAUACGGAGGGUGCAAGCGUUAUCCGGAUUUAUUGGGUUUAAAGGGUCCGUAGGCGGACUGAUAAGUCAGUGGUGAAAUCCGACAGCUUAACUGUCGAACUGCCAUUGAUACUGUUAGUCUUGAGUAAGGUUGAAGUGGCUGGAAUAAGUAGUGUAGCGGUGAAAUGCAUAGAUAUUACUUAGAACACCAAUUGCGAAGGCAGGUCACUAAGUCUUAACUGACGCUGAUGGACGAAAGCGUGGGGAGCGAACAGGAUUAGAAACCCCGGUAGUCCCAU